rnacentral:rRNA from 1 species
CCUACGAGUGGCAGCAGUGGGGAAUAUUGGGCAAUGGGCGCAAGCCUGACCCAGCAACGCCGCGUGAAGGAAGAAGGCUUUCGGGUUGUACACUUCUUUUCUGAGGGACGAAGAAAGUGACGGUACCUCAGGAAUAAGCCACGGCUAACUACGUGCCAGCAGCCGCGGUAAUACGUAGUUGGCAAGCGUUCUCCGGAUUUAUUGGGUGUAAAGGGCGUGUAGGCGGGAAAGCAAGUCAGAUGUGAAAACUCAGGGCUCAACGCUGAGCCUGCAUUUGAAACGGUUUUUCUUGAGUGCUGGAGAGGCAAUCGGAAUUCCGGGGGUAGCGGUGAAAUGCGGAGAUAUACGGAGGAACACCAGUGGCGAAGGCGGAUUGCUGGACAGUAACUGACGCUGAGGCGCGAAAGCGUGGGGAGCAAACAGGAUUAGAUACCCUUGUAGUC